rnacentral:tRNA from 1 species
GGCUUCGUAGCUCAAUGGAAUUAGAGCGCAGGUCUUCUAAACCUGAAGUUGUGCGUUCGAGUCGCACCGAAGCCU